UAAGAACCCGUGUUCGUGAAGUUCGGCACGGUCUCACAUCCAGCCUAUCUAGGCCCUGUCUCUCUAAUGGCCUACCAUCCAUCGCGCUUUCCAUGCCUCAGCGACGCAGGUGGAGACUCCAGAACUGCAGUUGCAUGAAGAAACUGCUCACAUGUGGCCAAGAUCACUUAAGUAGGAGGUGGGGAAUUGAACCCACUCUGACUGACUCCAAAUUAAUACAGAGUUUGUAGCCACUUACAUAAUAAUGGUAAAGGCUUCGUUUAUUGUGAUGUUGUAUGGAUAAAUUUACUGAGGGUCAGCACAUCCUUAAAGGAUGCACAAAUGGCAGGAAGGAUCAGAAAAGAAAACUGAAAUAGCAGAGAAGCAGAAAAAAUAAAAUCUCCCAAAAUAAACUUAAAGGAAUUAAUAAAAACAGAUACUAAUGAAAUAGAAAAUAAAAUUAAUAAUAGCUUCUGUUUGAAAAGAACAAUAAAAAGGGCACCUGGGUGGCUCAGUCAUUAAGCGUCUGCCUUCAGCUCAGGUCAUGAUCCCAGGGUCCUGGGAUCGAGUCCCACAUCGGGCUCCCUGCUCCGCUGGAAGCCUGCUUCUCCCUCUCCCUCUCCCACUCCCCCUGCCUGUGUUCCUGCUCUCGCUGUCUUUUCUCUGUCAAAUAAAUAAAAUCUUUAAAAAUAAAUAAAUAAAUAAAUAAAUAAAUAGACACUUAGCAAAUCUAAAAAGAAAAGAAAGCAAUAUUUGGAAACGGAACAUUACAGAUACGAGGGACUUCCAUAAUUAGAAGUGAACCUAGAAGAGCCUUAUACUAAUAAUCUUGAAAAUUGACUUGAACAAUUUUCCAGGAAAAUAGAGAUUUCAAAAAAUUGGCUCAAGAGUUAGAAAACCUGAAUAAACUGAUAAUCAUAAAAGAAUGCCCUAUAUAUAUAUCCCUGACAGAAGUCACCAGGAACAAAGCAUAGAGAAGAUUGGAGUAUGUCCCAACUAUGAACGCAUAACCAUAGCAGAAUCGAAAAAGACAAUAAAAUAAAACCUAGCUCAGUCUCACUUAUGAAUAGUCAUGCAAAAAACCUAAGGAAACAAGCCAACAGUGCAUUUAGAGAAUGAUGUCAUAACCAAGUUGGGUUAAUCCUACCAGUACAAAGAUGGUCAACAUUAGACAAGUAAUGAAAAUUUUCUACAUUAGUAGAUAAAGGAGAAAAACUAUAUGGCCGUAAGUGGUAAUGAAAACACUUGAAAAAUUAGCAUCUAUUACUGAUUUUUAAAAAAAUACAAUUUAUAUUAAGCAAGUAACAAAAGGAGGCUUGCUUAACUGGAUGAAGGGUAUCAACCAGAAAUAGCACACUUAAUGUCAUGAGCCAGGUUAUAUCUCCUGUCAUUCAUACAAUUCAACAUUCUUCUGAGACUUUUGGAUCCAGUAUAAUAGUAAUAAGCGAGAGAGAAGUAAGGUAUGAAAUUGAAAAGGAAGAAAUUAAGAAAAAUUAAGAUAAAUGGUAUCGUUUACCUGGAAAAUCUGUAAGACAGGAAGAUGGUAAGCUCUCAGCAACAUACAGAAGAUUUUUUAUAAACUAGAUACAAUCGACUUAAAUGUAAAGAACGCACGUUAGCAACAGUGGUGAAACAUUCUAGAAAUCUACCAAGAAAUAAGCAAAACCUACCUUAAAAAACCAUAAAAUUUCAUUUAUGGAUGUUAUAGAAAAUCAGAAUAAAUGGAAAAAUCUGCUGUGUCCCUAGAUAAGUAGGCUCAGUGUUGUAAAGAUAAGAUUCUCCUCAGAUUAUAAAUUUGUUGCAUUUCAAGUAAAAAUUCUAACAAUUUCUAGUGGAAAUCAACAAGAUGAUUUUUUUAUCUGGAAGAAUGUAGGUGCAAGAUUAACCAAAACAUUUUUUUAAAAAGAAGAAUGAGGGGCGCCUGGGUGGCUCAGUCGGUUAGGUGUCUGCCUUCAGCUCAGGUCAUGAUCCCAGGGUCCUGGGAUCGAGUCCCGCGUCGGGCUCCCUGCUGAGUGGGGAGCCUCCUUCUCCCUCUGCCCCUUCCCCCUGCUUAUGCUCUCGCUCUCUCUCAAAUGAAUAAAUAAAUCUUUAAAAAAUAUAUAAAAAGAAGAAUGAGAACUCCCCCAAAUACCCAUCAGAACUACAAAGCUAGGGUAUUUGUAACAGGGAGGUACUGGAAUGGGACCAAAUAGUGGAACAAACUAAAAUUCAGAAAUAACCCCAUGAGUACAUUUAUUAUAGAGGUGGCAUUUCAAAUAGAAAAAUAAAAGCUCUUUCAUAUGCGAAAAUUUCAGAAUUAAAGAUAUUAAAGUUCUAGAAGAAAAUAGAGAAAUUUGUUUUACAUAUCUAAGGCAGGCCUUCCUAAGCAAUGCAAACUCCAAAGAUCACAGAGAAAAAAUUUAUAAACAUUUAAAAGGCUACAAGAUGCAUUAGCAUGAAGUUGAGACCAGAGGUAGACAAUAUUUAUUAUCAAGUCUGAGAGUAACUCUAGAAGAACUAAUGAGCAAAAAGUGUGAUUAAAAAUACCAAAACAAGUACACCCGAGACUAAUGAAUGUUGUAUGUCAACUAUACUUCAAUUUGAAAAAAAAAAUUUACUCAAAACUCAUUGAGAAAGAAUGCUCUUAGCACGUUACUAUGAUAAAAACUAAAAGAUGGAUAAUGAGUGUUGGAAGAGGUCUGAAGCCUCUGCUGGUGAGAUUUUAAAUUGGUGUGACCCAUGAAGGACAAUUUGGCAAUAUCUGUCAAAACUCUAAACAUACAUUACCCUGAGUCGGGAACUAUCCAGUUGUAAAAUCUUCAAAAUAACGUUCCGUUCUGUUGCAGUAGGAUAGUCAUUGCAACGUGUUAUAGUUGUAAAUAAUGAGACACUUGGAUAUCCGUCAGUGAAAGAAUGGCUAAAUUAUGCUACAUUUCUAUGAAAUACAGUUUAGAAAUGAAAUCUACAUCAUUAACAUGAAAAAAGGGGCAAAAUGUAUGUAAUCUUAGUAUUUUAAAAUUUCUUUUUAAAAUUUUUUUUUACAUUUUUUUAAGAUUUUAUUUAUUUGACAGCGAGAGAAGGAACACAAGCAGGGGGAGUGGGAGAGGGAGAAGCAGGCUCCCUGCCGAGCAGGGAACCCGAUGCAGGGCUCGAUCCCAGGACCCUGGGAUCAUGACCUGAACCGAAAGCAGACGCUUAACGACUGAGCCACCCAGGCACCCCUUCUUUGUAAAAAUUUUUUUCCAAGAAUCUAUAGAUGAUUAACUCAGUACUUUAUAAAACAAGAAAGAUGUGAAAGGAGACUUUUUCUGUAUUGAUUUUUUAAGUUUUACAAAAAUUCUUCCUAAAUAAAAAUACAGAAGCACAGAAAAACGUUAUAUAAAGCAAGACAAAGUACUUUUAAGGAGUACAUGGGCCAGGGAAGAUUAAGAAGUUAAGAAAAACACUGGUUUUGGCAAGGAGUCAUUAGUAACACUCAGGAGUCAAGAUGUAAAAACCCAGAAUGCACGGGAUUUCAAGGUAAGUGAGGGACUGAUUAAAGGAAAUGUCUCAAGUGAAGCAUUCGAGAACACAAUGAAGUGGGCAUCUCAGCAUUCCAGAGAAGUGGAGCUCUUAGGAAAUUUAUGGUUCCACCUCUGUUUUUUCAAAGAGGGGUCUGCCUAAUUUCCCAUAAACCAGCUCUUUGCGUUUAGUUCCAGAGGAGGGAGCAGGGCCAACCCCAGACCAAAAAUUCAAUUAAAUGCGUUUUGGUAACCAACUUCCUUCUGCCUAAAUACUCUCUUCUCUUGCUUCCCAGGCAUUCUUGCUCUCCCUUUGAUGCCCACCUCCAAACUUUCACCCUGUAGGUGAACUUUUUUGCUCUUAACUUGCUUUUUCCCACCUGCACAGCAAAGUGACCCCAUAUAGGAUUAGGAGAAAACCCUACUUCUGCAGAAGUUCAUGCCCUUUUUGAUAAUAGCCUGACUUUCACAUUUUUACCUCCAGAUUACCUCCUCUUUAGUCUGCUAAAACUUUCCACUUCCCUGCAGUUAGAUGCUGUGUAUUUUUCUGAAUAUUUCAUAUAAACCUCUUGUAGCAUUUAGUAAUUGCUAAAUAGGUUGUAAAUAAAGUCUGCUGGGAAAACAAAACUAGAAUCGUCUAUUUUAGGUUGGUUGUUGCUUGAAAAUCUUUGAAUUUUUAUCGUAUGAGGUUUUUUUUUUUUUGCUAAAGCUUAUUUUAUUUUUAGCUAAAUAACAGAUUACUUUGUAGUAUUUUCCAGAACAGUAAAGUUAAAACUAAGUUUUAACCAAUUAUGUUAAAAUCAGAACAUUGUAGAGUAUAAACAAUGAAAUUUGCAGGUUUUAGGAAAUAAAAUGCUUUUAUCUGUUCUCACAAACUUCAACUGUUACUUCAAAAAACAGUAUUCCAUCUUACAUAAGGCUUCCUUUGGUUUUCCUUGCUACACUUGCCGUUGUAGAUUACUCAUUCUAGUUCCCAGUAGUAAGUGUUGACUAUUACUUUUCCAUCUUUUGGGGCUACAGUUCAGUGUUGCUUUCUAGAUCAGUUAUCAGAUCUAGCUGUUCAUUAAAAUCAACUAUGGGGUUUUUUUAAAUUCAGAUAUAAUUGACAUUAUUUUCAUGUAUAACUAUGGAGCUUUCUAAAUGGUAGAGGGAUCUGAAUGAGAAUCUACUAAAUGAGACCCUCCAGAGAUAAACAAUCUGUUCUUAAUAUUCACUGAUUGUAAUGCGGUUAAAUUUGGGGGCCACACAUCUAAAUCACUACCCAAUAUCCAACCUCCUACCUCAACGAAAAACUAGGAACUGGAUUUUCAAUUCCAACUGAAUACCUAUGAUCAUCUCAGAGGAAGUAUUGCCCCUCUGCCACUCCAGAGCUAAUUACUUUCGUGCUAUUGAUAAUCUCUUUUCAACUCUGAGACUGGUCUAUCAUCUGUCUUCAAGUCUCUCCCAUUAACUCCUUUUAACAUAUAUGUUAACAUCUUUUUGUCUCAUUCUGACUAAAUUUCCAGUUAAAUUUCAUAAAGAGUAGCUCUUACAAUUUUGUCACCUCUCACCCAACACAACCCAUUGCAACUGGUGUUAACACCCAUACUCACCUGUUCUUCAAUCAGUUGUUAGAGGAUAUUUCUAUAUCGUUCCAUAUUUUCUUGACUUUGUUUACUGCCCAUUCUUCGAAAUUUUUUUUACCAUUACGGUUUGUUUUCUUUUUUUCCUCAAUGGUGCUUUCUUACCCUUCUACUUAAGUCUAUAUGUUUGCUCCUCAAGGACUUGACCCUUGAUAUGGAUACUCUUGAUACACUGGUAGGUUUGAAUGUCGCCUUUCUUUUGUCAUAUACUUUUAAGCAUUUGAUAAAAGUUAUGAUCCCCCCAAAAGAAGACAAAAGAAAAUUUUGCCUAUGUUUUUGGAUUAGACCCCAGCAUUUCUUCCAUGACAGUGUUCGUUUAUAUUCGUAAAUUCAGCUAGCACACAAUGUUUUCACCUCUCAAAUCCAGUGGACACCUACCAGUUUUUCUUACUGAACCCCUUUAUAACAUUUGACAAUCUCAUAAAUUUCUAUUCACUUGAUUCUUAAAAAAGAUGCAGAUAGGAUUUGUUUAAAAUUUCUGGUGGCUCCCAUGCUCACCAGUGUAAUACAAACUUUUAAGCAUGACCAAAAAGACUCUUCAUAAUCUAUUCAAAGUUGUUGGAUUUUAACCAUAUAAAAAAUUUUUUGAAAACACAUGUGUUUUCAAGCCUUUAUGUUUGCUGUCCAUUCUCCAUAGAUACCCUUCCCACCAGUGUGGACUCCUAGUUAUCCUCCAAGACCCAAUACCCCAAAUACCACCACCUCCAUAAAGUCCUCCUUAAGCCACUUCCAGGUAGUUUGAUGUACCUACUUAAGGUAUUCUUUUUAAUUGUAGAGGUAGUACAGAAUAAAAUGAAGCAAAACCAGGUCUACAUUCUUAUUCUACAUUCUUAUUGAGUGAUUCAAUCUGUACGUUGGGGAUACCAUCUACUAUGUAGGAUUAUCUGUAAAUACUAAAGAUACAUAUAAAAAAUUUGCCAGUGCCUACCCCACAGUAAAUGCUCAACAAACAAAAUUGUUUUAUAUGCCCAUCUCCUCCAGUAGAUGGCAGAAAAGAUUAAUCUUCAUCUCAGAGUUCCUGGCUUAUAGCAGGUGCCAUGUUCAUGUUUUAAAGAACGGUAAUGAACAAAGACAUAAGAAAAAGAAGUCACAUUCUAAAGUCAUCCAAGAAAUAAAGAGAUACAAACUGGAAGUUUCUUCAUCAUUCUAUUUAUUACAUGUAUGAAUAUUAACAUCUCAUGGUAUCCAUCUAAUUCAGUCAAAACCAACAAAGGAAAAAGGUUAACCAUGUUUCAAAUGAACAUUCUUACAGAUUCCCCUGUAACUUAAAAUAGAAAUAUGUUCAUCUGCAUUAAAUCAUUUGACAUAUUUGAAAAAUGUCAUUUAAAAAAAAAAUCACCUUUAGUACUUAAAUAUAUUUAUUAAUCGUUUGAUGGCAUCAGUGUCCAAGUUCAAUAAAAGUUGCUUCAUUAGAUACUUUUCAAAAAUGGACAUCUGGAUGGUUCUCUAUAGCUAGAGAGAUAUAUAUGCAAAGUCCUAUUUCGUUUUUAAAAUUUUUUCAAAUCUGGCUUUUCUAUUUGAGAAAAGUCCUGCAGUGCUCUCUCACACCCCUCUUUUGAAGGAUAAAACUAACCAGAAUUUGCUUCUUUAAUCAUGGGAAGCUACUAGAAAAAAAAAUCUUACGUUGAGGUUGCUGUUUAAUUCCAUUUUCACCCAAUAAAAAGUACAGAAACACUGUCUUUAUUUGAUGGUGUGCAUAAAUAUUACACUCCAUGGAUAGCAAAAAUAUUUUUUAUUUAUAAUUUACAGUUUCACAAGUGAAAAUCGUACAUUUUUACACAUACAAUUUCAUUUUGUUAAAUUUGCACACAUCUACAGAACUUUCACACAACAAGCACCUGAAACUGUGCAGGCAGUAGGAAAUGCAAAUACUAAAAUGUAUUUAUUAACCAAAUGAUAGCUGAAGGCCCUGCCUCAGCUAGACAAUUUAUAUAGAUAUAUGUCUAUAUAUACAUAAAAAAUUCUUCACCUUCUAUAUCCAACAGCAGCUUUUUUUUAAAAAGAAAAACAUACCUUUCUCAUUUUAUUUAAACUGACUCGACUGUAUCAUUUUCUGUUUUAAUUUCAGUGGGUGUUGCUAUGCUUUCCUCUGUACAAGCUGGUGGGGUAUCAAUUCGUUCUUCCUUAACUUUGGGACUUUCACAGGGUUCCUGUAAUUCGUUUUUGACAAUGUUCAACAUAAUGUUCAAAGGGUUUUCAACUGGUGUCUUGCUGGGAGAUGGUGUACAAUCAAAUGAAGAUGUCUACAAAAUGAAAAGCUCUGUAAGUUCUGAUUAAAGUUCAAAAGUAUCACAUUAAAUGACAUUUAGUUUAAGACCCCUUGUAUGGGCAAAAAAACAUACAUAUACCGAAUGCAACUGAAAUACCUGCUUCCCCAUAAAAAGCCAUGAAAGCAGCCAAAUAAAAGGUAUACUGAGCAUUUAAUACGUAUUCAGCAAUGAUCUAAGCCAAGAAAAGCAGUAACCAAUUUAAGGCCAAAAGAAGUUGAUUAGACAUACCUCUAUUGUUAACCCCAGAGAUGGUAACCACUACACAUACUCUGGAAUUUUUAUGACUAUCCUAAUUUCAAAUACUCUCACCUCACAGACCAUCAAAACGUCCUAGAAAGUCUACUCUUUCAAUGACCUAAAUAAAUCUUCCAAACUGCCUCCUGAACCAGUGUGUUGUUUGGUUUAAAAAAAAAUGGUUACUCUCAAAUAUGAAAAUGUGAACUUCUAAGGUCAAUAGACAUGUCUUUCAGAUUUCACUUGUGAUCAUUUAAAAAUUAUUCCUAUGUUAUAUGGCUUAAAAAAAAAAAAAAAAAAAGGCAGUAAGUGCUACCCAUAACU